UCUCAAGAAAAGAAUUUUAGUUCAGCCUAAAGUAAAUUAAGUAACCCCCAUAGUACCACCUUUAGAGUUAUUCAAAUGAGGUACAGCCCAUUUGACACAGGAUACAACCUUCACUAACGGGUAAUAUUUUAACUACACCCUGAAGUAGGCCUAAGAGCAGCCAUCUUUCAAAAAGCGUCAAAGCUUAACCUUGUUCUUAAAGAUCUCGCAACCCCUAUCGACCCCUUUAAUCAUAUUGAGAACUUCUAUAACAAUAUAGAACCUUUUAUGCUAAAACUAGUAACAAGAAGAAACCCCUCUCCCUAAUGCAAACUAAAGCCAGCAGAACCCCUCACUGGCAAUUAACACACACAAGUAGCAACUCCCCUAGAAAACCCUGCUCCUCCUAUUGUUAACCUUACACCAGAGCAUUUCAAGAAAGAUUAAAAGAAAAAGAAGGAACUCAGCAAACUCUAAAGUCCCGCCUGUUUACCAAAAACAUCGCCUCUUGUAAUCAUAAGAGGUCCAGCCUGCCCAGUGAUUUUUAUUCAACGGCCGCGGUAUUCUAACCGUGCAAAGGUAGCGUAAUCACUUGUUUUUUAAAUAAAGACCAGUAUGAAAGGCACCACGAGGACUUAACUGUCUCCUUUCUCCAAUCAGUGAACCUAAUCCCCCCGUGAAAAAGCGGGGAUCCCCCUAUAAGACGAGAAGACCCUGUGGAGCUUAAGAUACCAUAACAAUUGCCACACCACCAGCCACCCCGAUGUCUCCCCCAACAGCACCCUGUUUAUGUAUCUUUGGUUGGGGUGACCGCGGAGAAAAACCCAUCCUCCGCAAUGAAAAGGACUUCCCACCUUAAACAACAAGUUACUACUUUACGUAUCAAAAUUGACAUUCAUUGACCCAAUAAUUGAUUAACGAACCAAGUUACCCCAGGGAUAACAGCACAAUCCACUUUGAGAGCCCCUAUCGACAAGUGGGCUUAUGACCUCGAUGUUGGAUCAGGAUAUCCUAGUGGUGCAACCACUACUAAAGGUUCGUU
rnacentral:rRNA from 1 species